rnacentral:rRNA from 1 species
AUUGAACGCUGGCGGCAGGCCUAACAAAUGCAAGUCGAACGAGUGGCGGACGGGUGAGUAAUGUCUGGGAAACUGCCCGAUGGAGGGGGAUAACUACUGGAAACGGUAGCUCAUACCGCAUACCAUCGGAUGUGCCCCGAUGGGAUUAGCUAGUAGGUGGGGGAACGGCUCACCUAGGCGACGAUCCCUAGCUGGUCUGAGAGGAUGACCAGUCACACUGGAGCUGAGACACUGUCCAGAUUCCGAUCGGAGGCAGAAGUGGGGAAGAUUGGACAAUGGGCGGAAGCCUGAUCCAGGCAUGCCGCGCGGACGAAGAAGUGGGUCGGGGUGUAAAGUACUUUCAGCGGGUAGGCGUUACUUGCAGAAGAAGAACCGGUGAACUUCGUGUCAGCAGCCGCGGUAAUAC